rnacentral:rRNA from 1 species
ACGCUGGCGGCGUGCCUAAUACAUGCAAGUAGAACGCUGAAGGAGGAGCUUGCUUCUCUGGAUGAGUUGCGAACGGGUGAGUAACGCGUAGGUAACCUGCCUGGUAGCGGGGGAUAACUAUUGGAAACGAUAGCUAAUACCGCAUAACAGUAGAUGUUGCAUGACAUUUGCUUAAAAGGUGCAAUUGCAUCACUACCAGAUGGACCUGCGUUGUAUUAGCUAGUUGGUGGGGUAACGGCUCACCAAGGCGACGAUACAUAGCCGACCUGAGAGGGUGAUCGGCCACACUGGGACUGAGACACGGCCCAGACUCCUACGGGAGGCAGCAGUAGGGAAUCUUCGGCAAUGGACGGAAGUCUGACCGAGCGACGCCGCGUGAGUGAAGAAGGUUUUCGGAUCGUAAAGCUCUGUUGUAAGAGAAGAACAGGUGUGAGAGUGGAAAGUUCACACUGUGACGGUAUCUUACCAGAAAGGGACGGCUAACUACGUGCCAGCAGCCGCGGUAAUACGUAGGUCCCGAGCGUUGUCCGGAUUUAUUGGGCGUAAAGCGAGCGCAGGCGGUUAGAUAAGUCUGAAGUUAAAGGCUGCGGCUUAACCAUAGUACGCUUUGGAAACUGUUUAACUUGAGUGCAAGAGGGGAGAGUGGAAUUCCAUGUGUAGCGGUGAAAUGCGUAGAUAUAUGGAGGAACACCGGUGGCGAAAGCGGCUCUCUGGCUUGUAACUGACGCUGAGGCUCGAAAGCGUGGGGAGCAAACAGGAUUAGAUACCCCUGGUAGUCCACGCCGUAAACGAUGAGUGCUAGGUGUUAGACCCUUUCCGGGGUUUAGUGCCGCAGCUAACGCAUUAAGCACUCCGCCUGGGGAGUACGACCGCAAGGUUGAAACUCAAAGGAAUUGACG